GCCGACCAGGCCGUCCACGUCGUCGUAAAAAAUUUUCACCGUACGUUCAAUGAUUUACGGCGUGUAUUGGCUCAUGCUGGCUUGCUGCGGAAAAAAAAAUCCCCCCAUUCGAUCUCUCAGGAAGGAUCUCGUUCACGGCUCAUUCGAGUGCUCACCUACUCCUGUGCCGCACGACUACCUCCGCCUGCCGCCGCCGUCCUCCUUCGGGCUGGCUCUCCACCGCCGCUCCCCGCCGUCUGAGCCGUGGGUGAGCCUCGCCGCCCUACAGUCUUCCUUAUGCGCGCUGACCCUGCCCCCGCUUGCCUCCCUCGCCGUCCUGCCUCGCCGCCUUGCCUCUUCCCGCAUAGGUCGCCACCGCCGCCCAUCAACCCCGCCACUGGCCGCCGAAGCGCGUCUCCCCGCCCGGGCACUGCUUCUCCUUGCCCUUCCCCGCCCGGACAGCUGCCGCUCAUCCCCGUCGGCCGUCCUCGCGCGGCGAUCGCCAUCCAUCCCCGCCGAUGUGGCCCACGCCAUGCGCUGCCGCCAAAGGAGGCGCGCCGACCGCCCCUCCCCGUUCGCGGACAUGUCCCCCACCCUUGCCAGCCGCUCCUCAUCGCCUCUCGUGCGCCUCUGGAUCCGCGGUCCUCGGAGAGAUAGCAGCUACAGGCUAUGCCGGUAGGCUGGCAUCUCUUUGAGGAGAGGCCUCAUCCACAGCCUCACGGAUCCUCUUCGUGGGCGCCGUGCCGGAGAUCCAUCCGGACUUGAAUCGCGAUGGCCUCUGGUUAGCGCCCCCGGGUGCUUCGAUCCGCUGUCUGGCCUCUUGAUCCCCUCCCAAAGGUUCAGAAAUGACAAUUGACAAGCCAUCAGUACGAAAGCAGAGUUUUAGGUCCCAAUAAUUAACCCGCCGUCCUACUGGAUGCUAUUUGAACAGAGGAAAGCUCGAUGAUUGGAUAAGAUCGGUGGACUGAUGAUGGAUGCUUGUUUCAGAUCUCUGCUUGUGUUAGCUUCUUUCUUGACAAUCUGAAAAUGUUUCUUUCUUGACAAACUACCUUUGUUCAGAUUCUUUAGAUGAACCAAUGAAGCAUGCUUAUAUAUUAGAAUAAUUGAUAACUCACCAGCAUUAGGGGCUACAAUUCUUUUGUUUUGCUCUACCUGAACAAUUUUUCUCAUCUUAACAGUUGCAAAGCAUCCUAGAGAAAUAUCAGAUCUAGUGACAUCGCUCUUUACUGCUUGAAAUUCUUUCACCCAAGACACCGAGAGAUGCUGAUCAUGUUUGCGAAUCCAAAUUUUGGUGCUAGAUGCAGACCUGGUUUUGUUUUGUUGCUUCUUACUGCCUGAUAUUCAUUCACCUGAAAGAUACUGAUCAGGUUUGCCAAUAUAAUUUUUGUGCUGAUUGCUGACCUAAUUUGAUUUGAUUGCCUGAUAAAAAUUAAUAUACUUGGAUCAAUAUACUUUGUAUUCAAACUGUUCUGGUUGCCUCGAGUACUGUCUAUCAUAUAAAUCUUUGAUUACUGAAGUUGGGGAUGAUAGGAUUGUAUUAUGUGGUAUAGAAUUAUAGCUACCACAGUUGGAGUUAGUCACACCUCGGCAGCGUUAAUUCUUUUGGAGCCCUGCAGAGUAAUCCUUAAUCUUUGCCUAUGAACGAUCAUCAUUGCAAGCUGUUCUAUUCUUGUAAUGUGCUUACAGUUUUAGUUUACCAGAUUACAGUCAUUACGGACUGGUCUGCAUAUUGUAUACCAAAUUAUUAUAUUAUUUGUUUUUCUAGGUAAGCCACCUUUUUUCCCUUUGCAUAAAUGCUCCAUUAUAGAGAUCUAAAGUUGAGUACUUGGUUAAUCACAUGAACUCCCUGUGUUAGUACUCUAUAUGAUUCAAUUUCAUUUUCAAAAUGUUGGGCCUUUCAAAUGAAAAUCUAGAUCUACUAAUUUCUCUCCUCUUUGUUCAUUCUGAGAGGGGUUACUUUCAAAUGAAAAUAAAAAGGGUUAAACCAGAUUACACGGUGUAUUUAAACAACUGUAAUUUAUGGACGUUUCUUGCUUUGAGGGGAAACAAUUUUGAAGGUGAUGCAUUAAAUGCGAAGCAAAGUUGAAUAAUGCCCCGAACCAAUACUUUUUUACAUUAAUUGUUUAUUGUUAUGGUGAAAAGGAACUAUAAAACAUAGUUGACUAAUGCUCUGUUCUUUAGAGUUGCAGGCCUUGAAUGGUUGUCUCACGAUCAAAACAUAUGGUGGCCUGAACCAACAAUGACUUCCUGUAUGUUCCAGCAUUGGACAAUAUAUGGUCAUGUUUAUAAUUUUUACUACUGCUGGGAAGUAUGUUCAUAAUUUUUUGAAGAGCUAGAGGAGUUGGCUUAGUUCAAGGUAUUGGUUGCACCAGCGCUCUUAAGUUCUUUUUUAAACUUGAACACAUAUUCAGAUGAAAUACUUAGGUAUCCAUACAUGUUAAAAGAAUCAUUAUUAGAUAUGUUGAUGCUUAAGGGCUAUACCGCUAGAUUGUUUACUGCAACUUGCAACUGUAUUUAUUUUUGCUAAACCAGCAUGUAGUUCCUACCUGCAUCCUACUAGCUCCAUUGACUCAUCAUUUUCCCACCUAAUUUUUAGGUAUGUUAUAUUUACUCAUUAGCAUUUGAUUACUUAAAUAAUAUACUCCUAAUAACCAUUUUGCUACUGAUAACACAUGUUUUCCCAAUGACAAAUCUUGCAGGGAUCCUGAUUUCAAGGUACAUUCCUAACUCUAUCAAGGUCCAAAACUCUCUUCUAUUACAGCUUCUACUGCCAAUUGCAGUAUUUUUUAAUCAACAUUAUGCAAGUAACCUGGCACAACAUUGCACCUGUUCCGGAAAAUCUUUGGUCUCAAAUCACAAAGUGUUAUUCACAGCAAGAACAUCCAAUAACUGAAUCUCAGUAGAGCAAGAAAGCAAUUAUUUGUUGCAGGGACCUAAUUUGCAGGUGCAAUUCUGGCUCAGCAGCUGUCACGCCAUUAAAUAGAAAGGUUUAUAUUUUUAAAUCUUGUGUGGUUACUAUAGUACUAAUAGUUUUUAAGUUCAAAACCCUGCAGGACAUCUACGCCUAUAUUGGGAAGGUCACUCCUCUCGGACCACCACAAAUUAGGUUAUGCUAAAUUUCAAAGUAGCUUAAACUAUGUAGUUGAUAGUUACUACUUCCUAGGCAAAAUGUAAAAUAAAAAAAUUUCCUUGUAUUAACCAUAAAUUUGGCCUGAUGUUUUUAUGUUCCCCGAUAAAUAAUAUGAAUGUAUUAAUGUUACAAGUUCCGGUA